GAUGAACGCUGGCGGCGUGCCUAAUACAUGCAAGUCGAGCGAACAGAUAAGGAGCUUGCUCCUUUGACGUUAGCGGCGGACGGGUGAGUAACACGUGGGUAACCUACCUAUAAGACUGGGAUAACUUCGGGAAACCGGAGCUAAUACCGGAUAAUAUUUCGAACCGCAUGGUUCGAUAGCGAAAGAUGGUUUUGCUAUCACUUAUAGAUGGACCCGCGCCGUAUUAGCUAGUUGGUAAGGUAACGGCUUACCAAGGCGACGAUACGUAGCCGACCUGAGAGGGUGAUCGGCCACACUGGAACUGAGACACGGUCCAGACUCCUACGGGAGGCAGCAGUAGGGAAUCUUCCGCAAUGGGCGAAAGCCUGACGGAGCAACGCCGCGUGAGUGAUGAAGGUCUUCGGAUCGUAAAACUCUGUUAUUAGGGAAGAACAUACGUGUAAGUAACUGUGCACGUCUUGACGGUACCUAAUCAGAAAGCCACGGCUAACUACGUG
rnacentral:rRNA from 1 species